UACCAGCACCCCGAGUGGUCGGGACGUUUAUUGGGCCUAAAGCAUCCGUAGCCGGUUCUCCAAGUCUUCCGUUAAAUCCACCUGCUUAACAGAUGGGCUGCGGAAGAUACUAUAGAGCUAGGAGGCGGGAGAGGCAAGCGGUACUCGAUGGGUAGGGGUAAAAUCCGUUGAUCCAUUGAAGACCACCAGUGGCGAAGGCGGCUUGCCAGAACGCGCUCGACGGUGAGGGAUGAAAGCUGGGGGAGCAAACCGG
rnacentral:rRNA from 1 species